GUUGUGGUAGGAAUCAGGAAACGGGGCUCCUGGGGAGGCCCUGCCAGUUACACCACGGGGCUGCAGUAGAUGUCUAGUUCAGUCCACCCAGCAACCCUUCUUCCUUCUCCUGGAAACCUCACUCCAGGUUUCCCGGGGAAUCUCCCCUCCCUCAUUUGGCCCUGUGGUUCUGAUGGGGCUGGCCCCCACCCUUGGGCUCCAGGAAUGAGCAAGUGACUUAGGUCUCCCUAGGCACCAGCAUAGCUCAUCUCUGGCCCCAGGGAUUGGCUCGGAGAUGGGCAUGUUACCCAAGGCCAUCCAGUGAGAGUCAGUUCUGGGAUGUUUACUAGAAACAAUGGAAAAGAAGGGCUCUUUUCCUGCCUUGAUGUGAUGGGUAUAGGGUUGCGUCUUCUGUGGGCCAUCAUUUGGGGAAAGCCUAACUAAGAAUGAAGCCAACACAAAGGAAAUGGACCAAGAAAUGAAGAGAGAGUCCUGAUCUUACUGUUUGAGCCUCUGGAUCCAUCCAUACCUGAAGCUGGUACUACCUGGGACCUUUGCAAUCAGGUGGCGGUGUAAGACUGUGCGGCCUCCAGCUACUGCAGUCACUGUGCUACCCAGAGGGCGAUGCUUGGAGCUGCCAAGGAGCCACAGGGAGAGACGGUCCCCAGGGGCCCAAGCACGGAAGAUUAGCUCUGAGCUAACUACUGCCAGUCCUUCUCUUUUUGCUGAGGAAGACUGGCCCUGAGCUCAUGUCUGUGCCCAUCUUCCUCUACUUUAUAUGUGGGACGCCUACCACAGCAUGGCUUGCCAAGUGGUGCCAUGUCCGCACCCGGGAUCUGAACCAGCGAACCCCAGGCCGUCGAGACACAGAACAUGCAAACUUAACUGCUGCGCCACCGGGCCAGGCCCAAAAUGCAUGUUUUGAUUAAUUAAAAAUAUCUUCAUUUCACCACAUGAUUGCUAACUCUGGUUAAUAGCGACAUAUUGCUAAAUCUGGAUAAUGGGGUCAUUUUUUUCCAGAAAAUGGGCUUGUUCUAUCUCCUGUGUCUGGAGAUGGAGGAUGAAGAAGCCCCAGCUAAUCCUUUGGCUUGCUCUGAGCAGAUAAAAUCUUCGGUACGCUGGCCUGCUCUCGCCCUCCCUCCCUUCCUUCCUUUCUAACCUUUAUUGAAUAUUUCCUGUGGUACUUCUGUUUGGAAUAUAAUAAAAACCGAAACAGAAAGAAUCUCAGCUCAGAUGGAGUUCAAUUUCGG
rnacentral:lncRNA from 1 species